CAGCGGAGCGUGUGGUUUAAUUCGAUGCUACACGAAGAACCUUACCUGGGUUUGACAUAGAGGUAGUAGGGAAGCGAAAGCGGACGACCUUCGGGAGCCUCUACAGGUGUUGCAUGGCUGUCGUCAGCUCGUGUCGUGAGAUGUUCGGUUAAGUCCGCUAACGAGCGCAACCCUCGCUGUGUGUUACAAGUGUCACACGGUACUGCCGAUAUUAAGUCGGAGGAAGGUGGGGAUGACGUCAAGUCAGCAUGACCUUUAUAUCCAGGGCUACACACACGCUACAAUGGCCAGUACAAUGGGUUGCCAAGCCGCGAGGCGGAGCCAAUCCUAAAAAGCUGGCCUCAGUUCAGAUUGCAGUCUGCAACUCGACUGCAUGAAGUUGGAGUUGCUAGUAACCGCAGGUCAGCAAUACUGCGGUGAAUACGUUCCCGGGGAUU
rnacentral:rRNA from 1 species